AGCAGCCGCGGUAAUUCCAGCUCCAAUAGCGUAUAUUAAAGUUGUUGCAGUUAAAAGCUCGUAGUUGAAUUUCGGGAUCAAUUAAUCGGUCGUGCCUAUGGUAUGUACUGAUUUUAUUGGUUUCUCCCUUCUGACGAACCAUGAUGUCAUUAAUUUGGUGUCGUGAAGAAUCAGGACUGUUACUUU
rnacentral:misc_RNA from 1 species